AGUGAACGCUGGCGGUAGGCCUAACACAUGCAAGUCGAACGGCAGCACAGUAAGAGCUUGCUCUUACGGGUGGCGAGUGGCGGACGGGUGAGGAAUACAUCGGAAUCUACUUUUUCGUGGGGGAUAACGUAGGGAAACUUACGCUAAUACCGCAUACGACCUACGGGUGAAAGCAGGGGAUCUUCGGACCUUGCGCGAUUGAAUGAGCCGAUGUCGGAUUAGCUAGUUGGCGGGGUAAAGGCCCACCAAGGCGACGAUCCGUAGCUGAUCUGAGAGGAUGAUCAGCCACACUGGAACUGAGACACGGUCCAGACUACUACGGGAGGCAGCAGUGGGGAAUAUUGGACAAUGGGCGCAAGCCUGAUCCAGCCAUACCGCGUGGGUGAAGAAGGCCUUCGGGUUGUAAAGCCCUUUUGUUGGGAAAGAAAAGCAGCAGGUUAAUACCCCGCUGUUCUGACGGUACCCAAAGAAUAAGCACCGGCUAACUUCGUG
rnacentral:rRNA from 1 species